AUUAGUAGGGCUGGGUACCGACCUUCGGUUCUUUUAUGGUACCGACCGAAAUGCUUCGGUUUUACAGAGUAUCAAAACAUGCCUCGUCUUUCGGUGCCAAGUUUCGGUGAUUGGCUGUGACGUUUAACGUGAUUGCGUCACCCAGGAAAAAUACAUACGUGGUCACGCCUACAGUCGGGGUUCACGUGUAUCUGUUGUGAACUGGUUGCGAGCGUCGUCGAACCGUUUAAAAAUGCCACCCAGGUCAAAAGUGUGGCUUCACUUUAUUAAGAUUGAUGCCAAUAGUGCGCAAUGCAAUAUAUGCAAAAAACACAUUGUUGCUAAAGCUGGCAACACGACUAAUUUGAUGAAGCACCUAAUCGUGCACGGGAUCAAUUUAAGAGCGGAAAGUUGCUCGGUGUUUGACUGCAAGAAGAGCGGACCGCAGCCAGCUCAGCCGUCCUCCUCUCAGCAGCCGGUGGACAGUGCUAAACCGGAGCGAAGUGAAAAAUGUCAACCACCGGACUCCGCCUCAUCAGAGAUGACAGAGGACGGCACAGUGUCUGGAAUUUCAACAGGCCCAGCAGAUGAAGCAGGAGGUUGAAGGGACAGCUGGUCACCACGAUGACAACUCUUCUGAUGAAGACUGUGGAGCUGCAGUAGGACUACUGAAAAAGCCAAAGCUCUCUGCCCUUGAGGAGCUAUUUGCUGAUGAGGACAUGGCAGUUGAAAUAAGACAAGAAAACAGUUUUGGCAACACAGAGAAGAUUCAAGAAGAGAUCCAGCGGUAUAGAGGUCUACCGUCUACCCUAACCUCUGUGAAUGCAGUGACCUGGUGGUGGAAUGUGAGGGACACUAUGCCAAUGCUAUCAAACUUGGCAACCAGGUAUCUCUGUGUGCAAGCAUCAUCCACACCUUCGGAGCGUACAUUUUCUUCUGCUGGAGACACCAUCAGCCAGGAGCGUGCUUGUUUGUCUCCUGAGAAAGCAGACAUGUUAAUUUUUCUGAAAAAAAAAACUGCUAAGUAAAAAGGUCCUCAGAAUGUAACAGUGAGCAUUAGACACUGACUUGUUGUUGUUUACAACUGUUCUUUUGCACUGAAAAUAUUUUUUUUAUGUAAGAGAAGUGCUUUGAAUGGAAAAAACUGAGCUAAAAAUAAAACUUAAGAUUUGUACUUUA